AUUGAACGCUGGCGGCAUGCUUUACACAUGCAAGUCGAACGGCAGCACGGGGGCAACCCUGGUGGCGAGUGGCGAACGGGUGAGUAAUACAUCGGAACGUGCCCAGUCGUGGGGGAUAACGUAGCGAAAGUUACGCUAAUACCGCAUACGAUCUACGGAUGAAAGCGGGGGACCGUAAGGCCUCGCGCGAUUGGAGCGGCCGAUGUCAGAUUAGGUAGUUGGUGAGGUAAAGGCUCACCAAGCCGACGAUCUGUAGCUGGUCUGAGAGGACGACCAGCCACACUGGGACUGGGACACGGCCCAGACUCCUACGGGAGGCAGCAGUGGGGAAUUUUGGACAAUGGGCGCAAGCCUGAUCCAGCCAUUCCGCGUGCAGGACGAAGGCCUUCGGGUUGUAAACUGCUUUUGUACGGAACGAAAAGGCUCUGGUUAAUACCUGGGGCUCAUGACGGUACCGUAAGAAUAAGCACCGGCUAACUACGUGCCAGCCUCCGCAGUAA
rnacentral:rRNA from 1 species